CCUAAUACAUGCAAGUCGAGCGAAUGAUAGGGAGCUUGCUCCCUUGAUUUAGCGGCGGACGGGUGAGUAACACGUGGGCAACCUACCUGUAAGACUGGGAUAACUUCGGGAAACCGGAGCUAAUACCGGAUACUUUUUUUUCUCGCAUGAGAAGAGAUGGAAAGACGGUUUCGGCUGUCACUUACAGAUGGGCCCGCGGCGCAUUAGCUAGUUGGUGAGGUAAUGGCUCACCAAGGCCACGAUGCGUAGCCGACCUGAGAGGGUGAUCGGCCACACUGGGACUGAGACACGGCCCAGACUCCUACGGGAGGCAGCAGUAGGGAAUCUUCCGCAAUGGACGAAAGUCUGACGGAACAACGCCGCGUGAACGAAGAAGGCUUUCGGGUCGUAAAGUUCUGUUGUUAGGGAAGAACAAGUACCAGAGUAACUGCUGGUACCUUGACGGUACCUAACCAGAAAGCCACGGCUAACUACGUGCCAGCAGCCGCGGUAAUACGUAGGUGGCAAGCGUUGUCCGGAAUUAUUGGGCGUAAAGCGCGCGCAGGUGGUUCCUUAAGUCUGAUGUGAAAGCCCACGGCUCAACCGUGGAGGGUCAUUGGAAACUGGGAAACUUGAGUGCACAUGAGGAAAGUGAAAUUCCAUGUGUAGCGGUGAAAUGCGUAGAGAUUUGGAGGAACACCAGUGGCGAAUGCGACUUUCUGGUCUGUAACUGACGCUGAGCAUUAAGCACUCCGGCUGGGGAGUUCGGGCGCAAGGAUGUAACUCAAAGGAAUUGACGGGCGCCCGCACGAGGGGUGGAGCAUUUGGUUUAAUUGGAAGCAACGCGAAGAACCUUACCAGGUCUUGACAUCCUUUUGCCCUCCCUAGAGAUAGGGACUUCCCUUGGGGGACAAAAGUGACAGGUGGUGCAUGGUUGUCGUCAGCUCGUGUCGUGAGAUGUUGGGUUAAGUCCCGCAACGAGCGCAACCCUUGAUCUUAGUUGCCAGCAUUUAGUUGGCCACUGUAAGGUGACGGCCGGUGACAAACCGGAGGAAGGGGGGGAUGACGUCAAAUCAUCAUGCCCCUUAUGACCUGGGCUACACACGUGCUACAAUGGAUGGUACAAAGAGCUGCGAACCCGCGAGGGUAAGCGAAUCUCAUAAAGCCAUUCUCAGUUCGGAUUGUAGGCUGCAACUCGCCUACAUGAAGCCGGAAUCGCUAGUAAUCGUGGAUCAGCAUGCCACGGUGAAUACGUUCCCGGGCCUUGUACACACCGCCCGUCACACCACGAGAGUUUGUAACACCCGAAGUCGGUGAGGUAACCGCAAGGAGCCAGCCGCCUAAGG
rnacentral:rRNA from 1 species